UGCAGUUGACGGACUUAAUCGAAAUAUUUAUAUUUUGAAGCGGUUAGUGGCGGACUGGUGAGUAACGCGUAAGGAACCUGCCUAUUAGAGGGGAAUAACAGUGAGAAAUCAUUGCUAAUACCGCAUAUGCCAUAGAUAUCACAUGAUAACAGUGGGAAAGGAGCAAUCCGCUAAUAGAUGGCCUUGCGUCUGAUUAGAUAGUUGGUGGGGUAACGGCCUACCAAGUCGACGAUCAGUAGCCGGACUGAGAGGUUGAACGGCCACAUUGGGACUGAGAUACGGCCCAGACUCCUACGGGAGGCAGCAGUCGGGAAUAUUGCGCAAUGGAGGAAACUCUGACGCAGUGACGCCGCGUAUAGGAAGAAGGUUUUCGGAUUGUAAACUAUUGUCGUUAGGGAAGAGAAAGGACAGUACCUAAGGAGGAAGCUCCGGCUAACUACGUGCCAGCAGCCGCGGUAAUACGUAGGGAGCGAGCGUUAUCCGGAAUUAUUGGGUGUAAAGGGUGCGUAGACGGGAGAACAAGUUAGUUGUGAAAUACCUCGGCCCAACUGAGGAACUGCAACUAAAACUGUACUUCUUGAGUGCAGGAGAGGUAAGUGGAAUUCCUAGUGUAGCGGUGAAAUGCGUAGAUAUUAGGAGGAACACCAGUGGCGAAGGCGACUUACUGGACUGUAACUGACGUUGA
rnacentral:rRNA from 1 species